GUUUUUAUAGUGUAAUUUCAACAUUUUACUUUUUCAUUGUAAAGCUGUAAUAAUAGUAUUUCUAAAAACU
rnacentral:tRNA from 1 species